UAAGGAAUAUUGCGCAAUGGGGGAAACCCUGACGCAGCAACGCCGCGUGGAGGAUGACCCUUUUCGGAGCGUAAACUCCUUUUAUCAGGAAAGAAUAAUGACGGUACCUGAUGAAUAAGCACCGGCUAACUCCGUGCCAGCAGCCGCGGUAAUACGGGGGGUGCAAGCGUUACUCGGAAUCACUGGGCGUAAAGGACGCGUAGGCGGAUUAUCAAGUCUUUUGUGAAAUCUAGUGGCUUAACCACUAAACUGCUUAGGAAACUGAUAGUCUAGAGUAGGGGAGAGGUAGAUGGAAUUCUUGGUGUAGGGGUAAAAUCCGUAGAGAUCAAGAAGAAUACCCAUUGCGAAAGCGAUCUGCUGGAACCUAACUGACGCUGAGGCGUAAAAGCGUGGGUAGCAAACAGG
rnacentral:rRNA from 1 species